UAGGGAAUCUUCCGCAAUGGGCGAAAGCCUGACGGAGCAACGCCGCGUGAGUGAUGAAGGUCUUCGGAUCGUAAAACUCUGUUAUUAGGGAAGAACAAAUGUGUAAGUAACUAUGCACGUCUUGACGGUACCUAAUCAGAAAGCCACGGCUAACUACGUGCCAGCAGCCGCGGUAACACGUAGGUGGCAAGCGUUAUCCGGAAUUAUUGGGCGUAAAGCGCGCGUAGGCGGUUUUUUAAGUCUGAUGUGAAAGCCCACGGCUCAACCGUGGAGGGUCAUUGGAAACUGGAAAACUUGAGUGCAGAAGAGGAAAGUGGAAUUCCAUGUGUAGCGGUGAAAUGCGCAGAGAUAUGGAGGAACACCAGUGGCGAUGGCGACUUUCUGGUCUGUAACUGACGCUGAUGUGCGAAAGCGUGGGGAUCAAACAGG
rnacentral:rRNA from 1 species